UACGUAGGGUCCGAGCGUUGUCCGGAUUUAUUGGGCGUAAAGAGCUCGUAGGCGGUCUGUUGCGUCGGCUGUGAAAACCCGGGGCUCACCCCCGGGCCUGCAGCCGAUACGGGCAGACUAGAGUUCGGCAGGGGAGACUGGAAUUCCUGGUGUAGCGGUGAAAUGCGCAGAUAUCAGGAGGAACACCGGUGGCGAAGGCGGGUCUCUGGGCCAAUACUGACGCUGAGGAGCGAAAGCGUGGGGAGCGAACAGG
rnacentral:rRNA from 1 species